GGAGGCAGCAGUGGGGAAUAUUGCACAAUGGGCGAAAGCCUGAUGCAGCAACGCCGCGUGAGGGACGACGGCCUUCGGGUUGUAAACCUCUUUUAGCAGGGAAGAAGCGAAAGUGACGGUACCUGCAGAAAAAGCGCCGGCUAACUACGUGCCAGCAGCCGCGGUAAUACGUAGGGCGCAAGCGUUAUCCGGAAUUAUUGGGCGUAAAGAGCUCGUAGGCGGUUUGUCGCGUCUGCUGUGAAACCCCGAGGCUCAACCUCGGGCCUGCAGUGGGUACGGGCAGACUAGAGUGCGGUAGAGGAGAUUGGAAUUCCUGGUGUAGCGGUGGAAUGCGCAGAUAUCAGGAGGAACACCGAUGGCGAAGGCAGAUCUCUGGGCCGUAACUGACGCUGAGGAGCGAAAGGGUGGGGAGCAAACAGGCUUAGAUACCCUGGUAGUCCACCCCGUAAACGUUGGGAACUAGUUGUGGGGUCCAUUCCACGGAUUCCGUGACGCAGCUAACGCAUUAAGUUCCCCGCCUGGGGAGUACGGCCGCAAGGCUAAAACUCAAAGGAAUUGACGGGGACCCGCACAAGCGGCGGAGCAUGCGGAUUAAUUCGAUGCAACGCGAAGAACCUUACCAAGGCUUGACAUAUACGAGAACGGGCCAGAAAUGGUCAACUCUUUGGACACUCGUAAACAGGUGGUGCAUGGUUGUCGUCAGCUCGUGUCGUGAGAUGUUGGGUUAAGUCCCGCAACGAGCGCAACCCUCGUUCUAUGUUGCCAGCACGUAAUGGUGGGAACUCAUGGAAUACUGCCGGGGUCAACUCGGAGGAAGGUGAGGAUGACGUCAAAUCAUCAUGCCCCUUAUGUCUUGGGCUUCACGCAUGCUACAAUGGCCGGUACAAUGGGCUGCAAUACCGCAAGGUGGAGCGAAUCCCAAAAAGCCGGUCCCAGUUCGGAUUGAGGUCUGCAACUCGACCUCAUGAAGUCGGAGUCGCUAGUAAUCGCAGAUCAGCAACGCUGCGGUGAAUACGUUCCCGGGUCUUGUACACACCGCCCGUCAAGUCAUGAAAGUCGGUAACACCUGAAGCCGGUGGCCCAA
rnacentral:rRNA from 1 species